GAUGAACGCUGGCGGCGUGCCUAACACAUGCAAGUCGAACGAAGCACCUUACCUGAUUCUUCGGCUGCAAGUUUGGUGACUGAGUGGCGGACGGGUGAGUCACGCGUGGGUAAACUGCCCUGUACAGGGGGAUAACAGCUGGAACCGGCUGCUAAUACCGCCUAAGCGCCCGGGGUGACAUAUCCUUGUGUGAAAAGCUCCGGUGGUACAGGAUGGGCCCGCGUCUGAUUAUCUGGUUGGCAGGGUAACUGCCUACCAAGGCAACGAUCAGUAGCCGGACGGAGAGGAUGAACGGCCACAUUGGAACUGAGACACGGUCCAAACUCCUACGGGAGGCAGCAGUGGGGAAUAUUGCACAACGGGGGAAACCCUGAUGCAGCAACGCUGCGGGAGGGAAGAAUUAGUUCGGUAUGUAAAGCUCUAUCAGCAGGGAAGAUAAUGACGGUACCUGACUAAAAAACUACGGCUAAACACGUG
rnacentral:rRNA from 1 species